UUUCUGUUUGCAGUCUGCAAGUAAAUAGCUAAUAGAAUGGUAUUUGUGUGUGCUGUGUUAUAGUGAAGACAGACUGGUAAGGCAAGACAGUCUGGUGGAGGGGAGUCAUUAAUGCAACAUAGACCUUGAAAUGGCUGCAUGCAAAUGCGAUACAGUGAGACAUUGACAUUCGUGCUGAUGAGCAGCCCAGCUGGAUACUUGGGCAGAAUCAAAG
rnacentral:lncRNA from 12 species